AAAUAUGUAAAUAGAAAACAAAGUAAUGUGUAAAAUAGUAAAAGAGGGGUGCAAAUAGAAAUGUAGGCAAGGAAGGCAUGAGUCUCCACAUGUCUUCUCCUUAAUGGAGAGGAUUUGCACCAAUAAGGUGGUGACACUUGUCACACUCUCAUUUGAGAGUUUUUGAGAGACUUUAUCCUAUAAAUAGGAGUCUCUUGUACAUGUAUUUCUUUAACUUUGAAUUAGUAAUGAAAUGCUGCCUAAUUUUGGCCAUUCUA
rnacentral:lncRNA from 1 species